rnacentral:rRNA from 1 species
UACGGAGGGGGCUAGCGUUGUUCGGAAUCACUGGGCGUAAAGCGUACGUAGGCGGAUCUUUAAGUCAGAUGUGAAAUCCCAAGGCUCAACCUUGGAACUGCCUUUGAUACUGGGGAUCUUGAGUCCGGGAGAGGUGAGUGGAACUGCGAGUGUAGAGGUGAAAUUCGUAGAUAUUCGCAAGAACACCAGUAGCGAAGGCAGCUCACUGGCGCGGUACUGACGCUGAGGUGCGAAAGCGUGGGGAGCAAACAGG